rnacentral:rRNA from 1 species
GAUGAACGCUGGCGGCGUGCCUAAUACAUGCAAGUCGAGCGAACAGACGAGGAGCUUGCUCCUCUGACGUUAGCGGCGGACGGGUGAGUAACACGUGGAUAACCUACCUAUAAGACUGGGAUAACUUCGGGAAACCGGAGCUAAUACCGGAUAAUAUAUUGAACCGCAUGGUUCAAUAGUGAAAGACGGUUUUGCUGUCACUUAUAGAUGGAUCCGCGCCGCAUUAGCUAGUUGGUAAGGUAACAGCUUACCAAGGCAACGAUGCGUAGCCGACCUGAGAGGGUAAUCGGCCAAACUGGAACUGAGACAGGGUCCAGACUCCUACGGGAGGAAGCAGAAGGGAAUCUUCCGCAAUGGGCGAAAGCCGGACGGAGCAACGCCGCGUGAGUGAUGAAGGUCUUCGGAUCGUAAAACUCUGUCAUUAGGGAAGAACAAAUGUGUAAGUAACUAUGCACGUCUUGACGGUACCUAAUCAGAAAGCCACGGCUAACUACGUG